rnacentral:rRNA from 1 species
GAUGAACGCUGGCGGCGUGCCUAAUACAUGCAAGUCGAGCGAAUGAUGAGGAGCUUGCUCCUCUGAUUUAGCGGCGGACGGGUGAGUAACACGUGGGUAACCUGCCUGUAAGAUGGGGAUAACUCCGGGAAACCGGGGAUAAUAACGAAUAAUAAAAGAGGAAGCAUUUCUUCUUUUUGAAAGCUGGUUUAUGCUAACACUUACAGAUGGGCCCGCGGCGCAUUAGCUAGUUGGUGAGGUAACGGGUCACCAAGGCGACGAUGCGUAGCCGACCUGAGAGGGUGAACGGCCACACUGGGACUGAGACACGGCCCAGACUCCUACGGGAGGCAGCAGUAGGGAAUCUUCGGCAAUGGGCGAAAGCCUGACCGAGCAACGCCGCGUGAGCGAGGAAGGCCUUCGGGUCGUAAAGCUCUGCUGUCAGGGAAGAACAAGUACGAGAGUAACUGCUCGUACCUUGACGGUACCUGACCAGAAAGCCACGGCUAACUACGUGCCAGCAGCCGCCGUAA